GAUGAACGCUAGCUACAGGCUUAACACAUGCAAGUCGAGGGGAAACGACAUCGAAAGCUUGCUUUUGAUGGGCGUCGACCGGCGCACGGGUGAGUAACGCGUAUCCAACCUGCCCAUCACUUGGGAAUAACCUUGCGAAAGUAAGACUAAUACCCAAUGACAUCCCACGAAGACAUCUGAAUGGGAUUAAAGAUUUAUCGGUGAUGGAUGGGGAUGCGUCUGAUUAGCUUGUUGGCGGGGUAACGGCCCACCAAGGCAACGAUCAGUAGGGGUUCUGAGAGGAAGGUCCCCCACAUUGGAACUGAGACACGGUCCAAACUCCUACGGGAGGCAGCAGUGAGGAAUAUUGGGCAAGGGGCGAGAGCCUGAACCAGCCAAGUAGCGUGCAGGAUGACGGCCCUAUGGGUUGUAAACUGCUUUUAUAAGGGAAUAAAGUGGGUCUCGGGAGACUUUUUGCAUGUACCUUAUGAAUAAGGACCGGCUAAUUCCGUG
rnacentral:rRNA from 1 species